GUCUUGUAAUUGGAAUGAUGGGAAUUUAAACCUCUUCCAGAGUAUCAAUUGGAGGGCAAGUCUGGUGCCAGCAGCCGCGGUAAUUCCAGCUCCAAUAGCGUAUAUUAAAAUUGUUGCAGUUAAAAAGCUCGUAGUUGAAUUUCUGCUGCAUUGCAUUUUCUCCUAUACGAGUUUUUGCAUUGUGGCUUAUUUCGGUUAUAAAAUUUAUUUUUAUUUCCGGAUGUUUACUUUGAGAAAAUUAUAGUGCUCAAAGCAGGCUUUUGCCUUGAAUAGUUUAGCAUGGAAUAAUAAAGUAGGACUUUGGUUCUAUUUUGUUGGUUUUAGGUACCAAAGUAAUGGUUAAUAGGAACAGUUGGGGGC
rnacentral:rRNA from 1 species